CCUACGGGAGGCAGCAGUGAGGAAUAUUGGUCAAUGGGCGAGAGCCUGAACCAGCCAAGUCGCGUGAAGGAUGACGGCCCUACGGGUUGUAAACUUCUUUUGUCAGGGAGCAAUUGGGUCCACGCGUGGGCUUAGCGAGAGUACCUGAAGAAAAAGCAUCGGCUAACUCCGUGCCAGCAGCCGCGGUAAUACGGAGGAUGCGAGCGUUAUCCGGAUUUAUUGGGUUUAAAGGGUGCGUAGGCGGAAUAUCAAGUCAGCGGUAAAAAUUCGGGGCUCAACCCCGUCGUGCCGUUGAAACUGAUGUUCUUGAGUGGGCGAGAAGUAUGCGGAAUGCGUGGUGUAGCGGUGAAAUGCAUAGAUAUCACGCAGAACUCCGAUUGCGAAGGCAGCAUACCGGCGCCAGACUGACGCUGAGGCACGAAAGCGUGGGGAUCGAACAGGAUUAGAUACCCCUGUAGUC
rnacentral:rRNA from 1 species